rnacentral:rRNA from 1 species
GAACUUAAGCAUAUCAAUAAGCGGAGGAAAAGAAACCAACAGGGAUUGCCCCAGUAACGGCGAGUGAAGCGGCAACAGCUCAAAUUUGAAAUCUGGCCCCUCCGGGUCCGAGUUGUAAUUUGUAGAGGAUGCUUUUGGUGAGGUGCCGCCCGAGUUCCCUGGAACGGGACGCCGCAGAGGGUGAGAGCCCCGUCUGGCUGGCCACCGAGCCUCUGUAAAGCUCCUUCGACGAGUCGAGUAGUUUGGGAAUGCUGCUCAAAAUGGGAGGUAUAUGUCUUCUAAAGCUAAAUAUUGGCCAGAGACCGAUAGCGCACAAGUAGAGUGAUCGAAAGAUGAAAAGCACCUUGAAAAGAGGGUUAAACAGUACGUGAAAUUGUUGAAAGGGAAGCGCUUGUGACCAGACUUGGGCGCGGCGGAUCAUCCGGGGUUCUCCCCGGUGCACUUCGCCGCGUCCAGGCCAGCAUCAGUUCGUCGCGGGGGAAAAAGGCUUCGGGAACGUGGCUCCUCUGGGAGUGUUAUAGCCCGUUGCAUAAUACCCUGCGGUGGACUGAGGACCGCGCAUCUGCAAGGAUGCUGGCGUAAUGGUCACCAGCGACCCGUCUUGAAACACGGACCAAGGAGUCGUCUUCGUAUGCGAGUGUUCGGGUGUCAAACCCCUACGCGUAAUGAAAGUGAACGCAGGUGAGAGCUUCGGCGCAUCAUCGACCGAUCCUGAUGUUCUCGGAUGGAUUUGAGUAAGAGCAUACGGGGCCGGACCCGAAA